GACGAACGCUGGCGGCGCGCCUAACACAUGCAAGUCGAGCGAGAACCAGGGCUUCGGCCCUGGGGACAGCGGCGAACGGGUGAGUAACACGUGGAUAACCUGCCCUCGGCACCGGAAUAGCCCGGGGAAACCCGGAUUAAUGCCGGAUGGCCCCACAUCCCUGCGGGGAACGUGGGAAAAGGUAGCUUCGGCCUCUGGCCGAGGAUGGGUCCGCGGUGGAUUAGCUUGUUGGUGGGGUAAUGGCCCACCAAGGCGACGAUCCAUAGCUGGUCUGAGAGGACGAUCAGCCACACUGGGACUGAGACACGGCCCAGACUCCUACGGGAGGCAGCAGUAGGGAAUCUUCCACAAUGGGCGCAAGCCUGAUGGAGCAACGCCGCGUGAAUGAAGAAGGUCUUCGGAUCGUAAAGUUCUGUUAUUAGAGAAGAACACGUGUAAGAGUAACUGAUUAUGCGUUGACGGUAUCUAAUCAGCAAGUCACGGCUAACUACGUGCCAGCCGCCGCCGUAAC
rnacentral:rRNA from 1 species